UACAGAGGUGGCAAGCGUUGUUCGGAAUUACUGGGCGUAAAGGGCGCGUAGGCGGCCAUCUAAGUCAGACGUGAAAUCCCCCGGCUUAACCUGGGAACUGCGUCUGAUACUGGAAGGCUCGAGUUUGGGAGAGGGAUGUGGAAUUCCAGGUGUAGCGGUGAAAUGCGUAGAUAUCUGGAGGAACACCGGUGGCGAAGGCGGCAUCCUGGACCAACACUGACGCUGAGGCGCGAAAGCUAGGGGAGCAAACGGG
rnacentral:ncRNA from 2 species